rnacentral:rRNA from 1 species
CCUACGGGAGGCAGCAGUGGGGAAUAUUGGACAAUGGGCGAAAGCCUGAUCCAGCAAUGCCGCGUGUGUGAAGAAGGCCUGCGGGUUGUAAAGCACUUUUAUCGGGAAAGAAAAUCUCAGGGUUAAUAACCCCUGGGCCUUGACGGUACCCGAAGAUAAGCCCCGCA